AAACAUGUCCUUUUGAAUUUUAUUAAAGGUCUAGCCUGCCCACUGAAAUUUUAAAUGGCCGCAGUAUCCUAACUGUGCAAAGGUAGCAUAAUCAUUAGUCUUUUAAUUGAAGGCUUGUAUGAAUGGCUGGACGAGAUACUAACUGUUUCAUAUAUAUUUAUUGUAGAAUUUUAUUUUUUAGUCAAAAAGCUAAAAUGAAGUUAAAAGACGAGAAGACCCUAUAAAUCUUUAUAUUUUAAAUAUUUUAGGUUUUUAGAUGAUUUAUCCUAUUAUAUUAAAAAAUAUUUUAUUGGGGUGAUAUUAAAAUUUAAUUAACUUUUAAUUUUUAAGAACAUUAAUUUAUGAGUAAUUGAUCCGUUUUUAGCGAUUAAAAAUUUAAGUUACUUUAGGGAUAACAGCGUAAUUUUCUUGGAGAGUUCUUAUCGAUAAGAAAGAUUGCGACCUCGAUGUUGGAUUAAGAUUCAGAUUUGGGCGCAGCCGUUCAAAUUUUAAGUCUGUUCGACUUUUUAAAUCUUACAUGA
rnacentral:rRNA from 1 species